AAAAAAACAAUACACUCCAAACAAAAACCUAAAACCUCACCUUCCCCAAUCUCCACUAACAUUUCACCAAGCAACAAACACCUUUCUUCUCUUCUCUCUCUCAUAUUCACCCAUCCACUUUCUCAACUCCUUCUCCAACAACAACCUUACCUCAUCACAUCAUCAUUCUCUAAACUCUAUUGUUUGUUGUGUUUCUUGUUUCUUCUUCUUUUGUCUACAUUUGUCACUCUUUUGUUCAGCCACUUUUCCCCUAAUACAAACUUUAUUUUGAUUAAAAUUUUUUUUUAUUUUUAUUUUAUAAAAAGUACUACUAGUAGCAGAGAAAAAGUUAGUAGUUACGUAUACAUACAUAUAUAUACAUACACUGGACCAUUAAGUCAUUAA